rnacentral:rRNA from 1 species
GACGAACCGUGCGAACGUUGUUCGGAUUCACUGGGCUUAAAGGGCGCGUAGGCGGGCCGCCAAGUCAGGGGUGAAAUCCUCCGGCUCAACCGGAGAACAGCUUCUGAUACUGGCGGCCUCGAGGGGGGUAGGGGCAGACGGAACUUCCGGUGGAGCGGUGAAAUGCGUAGAUAUCAGGAGGAACACCGGUGGCGAAGGCGGGUCUCUGGGCAGUGAACUGACGCUGGAGGAGCGAAAGCGUGGGGAGCGAACAGG